AUUGAACGCUGGCGGCAGGCCUAACACAUGCAAGUCGAGCGGAUGAAGGGAGCUUGCUCCUGGAUUCAGCGGCGGACGGGUGAGUAAUGCCUAGGAAUCUGCCUGGUAGUGGGGGAUAACGUCCGGAAACGGGCGCUAAUACUGCAUACGUCCUGAGGGAGAAAGUGGGGGAUCUUCGGACCUCACGCUAUCAGAUGAGCCUAGGUCGGAUUAGCUAGUUGGUGGGGUAAAGGCCUACCAAGGCGACGAUCCGUAACUGGUCUGAGAGGAUGAUCAGUCACACUGGAACUGAGACACGGUCCAGACUCCUACGGGAGGCAGCAGUGGGGAAUAUUGGACAAUGGGCGAAAGCCUGAUCCAGCCAUGCCGCGUGUGUGAAGAAGGUCUUCGGAUUGUAAAGCACUUUAAGUGGGGAGGAAGGGCAGUAAGUUAAUACCUUGCUGUUUUGACGGUACCAACAGAAUAAGCACCGGCUAACUACGUG
rnacentral:rRNA from 1 species